AAAAACAACAAAAAAGACUAAGAACAAAAAAAAAUAAAAAAAGAAAGAGAGAACCAGAAAGAGAAAAACAAGGGAGGAAACUGAAAAAGAGAAAAAAAGAAAGAAAGAAAGAAAGACAACAACAGUAAGGAAAAAACAAAACAAUUUCAAUACUUUCAUGCUCAUACGCACACAAACUGGACAAAAACAAAAAGAAAGAAAAGAAAAGUGUUGCAAAUAGUUGAGGUCGGGUCCCCAUUUGAGUUUUCGAUGACGAUAUUUUUUUUUCUUGAUUUUAAUUUAUCACACAGGUUCAUAUCAAAUUUCGUAUUAUUUAUUUUAUAAGUUGUUGUUAUAAAUCGAAUUGUGAAAGAAUUUAUUUCAAUGGCUUCUUCUAUUAUUUAGUAUGUUUAAUUUAUUAUUUUUUUUGUAAUUCAUGCUUUAUAUCUUUAUUUGUAAUUUGUAUGUUGCUUUCGAAAUAAUGUUUGUUAGAUUGAUUUUGAAUUUUAAAUG
rnacentral:lncRNA from 1 species